UACGUAGGAGGCAAGCGUUGUCCGGAAUUACUGGGUGUAAAGCGCGUGUAGGCGGCCAGAAAAGUCCGCUGUGAAAACUCGAGGCUCAACUUCGAGCUGUCGGUGGAAACUUUCUGGCUAGAGUCCGGAAGAGGAGAAUGGAAUUCCUGGUGUAGCGGUGAAAUGCGCAGAUAUCAGGAAGAACACCCGUGGCGAAGGCGGUUCUCUGGGACGGUACUGACGCUGAGACGCGAAAGCGUGGGGAGCGAACAGG
rnacentral:rRNA from 1 species